UCUAGCAGCGGACGUGUGUGUGCAGUCUGCCGGCAGUUGUAGGCGAUUUGGAGCUACCACCCCAGCGUUUGUUAAAUGAAGGAAGCUUUGCAUCCCGUAAAGCGCAGACAGCAGCAAGGUGACUGCAGCCAGCCUGGGAGAAUUCUUGCGUUCUCUGGUUGAACCCAGUCUUCCCGAGCACCUUCCUGGCGCCAGACCCUGGGGUGUGACUUGCAUGUGUCUCAUGCAGCCCUCCUGGUACAGCUCGCAGAAAUUGUGAAUUGUGUGGAUUCUCUUUACCUCCUCCAAGUCCUCAUUGGGUCACAUGGUAGACGAUUCCAUGUGUAAGAAUUGCUUCCAGAAGCCCUCAGCAGGCAGCCUGAACACUUCCACUGCUGGCCACCAGAAGAUACUCCUGUCCUCUCUACAGCUGCUGGUAGGGGAGCCCAACAUAGGGCUUGAACUCAUGACCCAGAUCAAGACUGGAGCUGAGAUCAAGACUCAGACGUUUAACUGACUGAGCCAUCCAGGCAUCCCUGAUUUUUCUUCUUUUCUUUCUUUCUUUCUUUCUCACCUUCUUUCUUUCUUUCUCUUUUGUUAUUGAUGGACUAGCUAGUACUUCUGAUUAUAUCAGAUAAGAGACUCUCUGUUAUAAUAUUAGGUGUGUACAUGCACACACACACACACACACACACCCAGUGGGGUAAGCAGGUUGCAACUCAAAUCAUGAAGUAUGAUCCCUUCAUGUUUUUUGUAUGGGGUGUGUGUGUGUGUGUGUGUAUGUGUGUGUGUGUGUGAAAAACCCAUAUUCCUAGGAAAAAAUGGUACUACCCUUGAUAGUUAUAUCUGAGUUAUAGAAUUAUGGGAAGUUUCUUUAUGUAUAUUUUCUAUAAUACAAACAUAUUUCCUUUGAAAUAAGGCAAUAAAAGAAAAUAAUGAUAAUAGAGGAAUAACUCCUAGUUAUCCUUCAAAGUCAGGGUCCAAAAAACCCCAAAAAACAAAAACCAAAAACUCCUCCCUGGGGCGCCUGGGUGACUCAGUCAAAUAAGCAUCUGCAUUUGGCUCAGGUCAUGAUCCCAACGUCCUGGGAUGGAGUCCGGAGUCAGGCUCUCUGCUGCUCCCCCUGCUUGUGAUCUUUCUUGCUCCCUCUCAAAUAAAUACAUAAAAUCUCAAAGACUUCCUUCCUCCCUGAAUUUUCAGGAUCCAUACGAGGCUCACCUUUUCAGGCUCCUGUAGCUCCUCACUUGGACUUCUGGCUGCACACUCCAGUAGUUGUGAUGUUUAGCUUGGCCAACUGUACCUUUCCUUCUCACAUGAGAGCAGGGACCGUGGUUUACGACUACCCAUGAUCCAUCAGGCCGAGCACCCUGCUGUCGUCAUAAAUAUGUGAGAAUGUUAAAAACGACCACCCAGGACUCUCUCAGUAUCUGCUGACUGCCUGGUACACAAACCCCCUGGGCGUGUAGGAGAACAUUUGCGAAGCGUUUUCCAGUUUGCCUCUCCUGUGAGCACACUGGGCUGUGUCCUCAUUGUGUUCAUCACGAUGGCUGAAAACGGAGGGGUCAAUUAGCAGGCAGCGUCACUGCCUCCUGACGGAUCUGCUUCUCCCAACACGAGUGCCAUGGUGAUGGACUGGCAGAAUCUUGAAUGUGCAAAGAAUGUGCAACACCAGGAAGAUGGGAACAACACCGACCAUGGGGUGCAAGGAACUCUUCUUUCUUCCAUUGAAUUACCUUGGAAUCUUUUUUGAAAAUCAAUUGACCUUUAUUUUUCUUGCCUUAUUGCAUUGGUUGAGAAUGCCAGUACAGUGUUAAGUAGAAAUGGUGAGAAUGGACAUCCUUGCCCAUUCCCAGUGGAAUGUGUUUGAUAUUU